rnacentral:rRNA from 1 species
GACGAACGCUGGCGGCGUGCUUAACACAUGCAAGUUGAACGGAAAGGCCCUGCUUUUGUGGGGUGCUCGAGUGGCGAACGGGUGAGUAACACGUGAGUAACCUGCCCUUGACUUUGGGAUAACUUCAGGAAACUGGGGCUAAUACCGGAUAGGAGCUCCUGCCGCAUGGUGGGGGUUGGAAAGUUUCGGCGGUUGGGGAUGGACUCGCGGCUUAUCAGCUUGUUGGUGGGGUAGUGGCUUACCAAGGCUUUGACGGGUAGCCGGCCUGAGGGGGUGACCGGCCACAUUGGGACUGAGAUACGGCCCAGACUCCUACGGGAGGCAGCAGUGGGGAAUAUUGCACAAUGGGCGGAAGCCUGAUGCAGCAACGCCGCGUGCGGGAUGACGGCCUUCGGGUUGUAAACCGCUUUCGCCUGUGACGAAGCGUGAGUGACGGUAAUGGGUAAAGAAGCACCGGCUAACUACGUG